CCAGCAGUGCAAUAUGAGUCCUAAGCAUCCCAGAAACGACACAGAAAGUCAUAAAGUCAAACAUAACUUUUAAAAACACAAGUAUAGGCUCAUAAGCCCCUGAUGGUAAAAGAAACUACAUUUCCGCAAAAUGACGUCACUUCCGGUUUCGGGCAGAUCAUGGCGGACAUGCGAUAGUUCCGCUGAUGGAGUAGGAAGUGUUACGAACAGCUGAUUGGAUCGGCAAAGCGUGUUUCUGGAAUAUUAUGUUUUUGUUGCUGCAAGCGCUUUUUAUGCAGUUUUUGCAAAGCUAUAUGUGGAAGGAAACCGUGACCUAGGACAAGCUGAUGGCAUAAAAUAUUUGUGGAGGGGAAUUGGAAGCAGGAAAUCGCUGCACGUCAGCAGGUGAAAAGAAAAGAGAGGGAGGAAGUUAAGUUGGACGUGUGUGUGUGUGUCACAGAGAUCACACAGCUGAGGCAUGUGGAGGUGUACAGCACAUAGGUGUUUUGACUGACAGCUUCUAGCUGUAAUCACGUGUAUGAUUGUUUCCACAUGUGAAACGGAUGUAAAAAUGAUUGGAUGAAAAAUCCCCCCGUGGCCGGCAGUCUGAAUAAAGGCUGUGAAGUCGUGUCAACAUGGUUUCAGUUAUCCUGCAGGAAAGUAAGACUUUAACUUUUUAUUUGAUACAUCAAAGCGUGAAGGUAUGCAAGAGGGACUACUUUUACACGCAUGUAGACUAUUGUACUGAUGUUUCAAGUAUAUUUUUUUUGUCUCUAACCACAAGAUCAGAUGUUUUCUGAUAGUGAGUGAGGGUUUUUUUCCAGAGAGAGCAAAUGUUUUUAAUAUAUUGAUCAUUUUUGAGCCAUUUUAGUUCACAAUGGAGAGAUCUGAUGAAACUAAAAUAAUAAUUUUAGUCAAUUUUAGUCCAUAGAAUAGGCUGGAAAAUCAUGGGGAGACCUUUGCCUGUUCACAUUUCUCUCUGGUGUGAUAUCACACCCCCAUUGUGCCAAUGAGUUUAAUCAAAGGAUGAAAACAAACAUUUUGUACCUGAAAAACUAUUGAGUAUGGAUGCAGUCAUUUUGUAAAUGAUUCUGAAAAAAAAAAAACCCUUUAAAAAUACAAGAUAAAUAAUUGGUUCUCUUAUAUUUUUUUUUAUUUUUAACAUACAGAAUAAUUAGCUAGUUCAGUUACAGAGCCAAUGCAUAACACCACCCACCUCAAAGUGCUUUAUAUCAUCAGCUAGGCCAUACAAUACCAGAGAGAAGUCCAAAAAUCACUCCCAUUUAAUAGGAAGAACCAUUCAGCAGAACCAAGCUCGUAGGUUAAAGAAAAAACAUAAAAGAGGAAGAACAAUCAACAAAACACAGACUACAGGAGAGAGAGGGCAUUGUUAAUGACGUUCAGCAGUGGCACAUAGACACGUGGAGAAGAAAUGCUGUGUCCAUCAUGGGAAGGCCUCCAACAGACUGAUGUAAGAUGCAUAACUAAGUGAUGUUUCAAAAAGGAACACUUUAAGGCUAACCUUAAAAAUACAGGGGACGUCUGUCUCCUGAAUCCAAAGUGUAAAUGGUUCUACAAAGGAACCUGAGACUUGAAGGCUCUGCCUCGCAUUCUACUUUUAGAGGCUCUAGGAACGACAAGCAAGCCUGUAGUCGUUGAUCAAAGUGCUCUACUGGGAUAAUAUGGCACAGUGAGAUCUGUAAGUUAUCAUGGCACAUGAUAAUUCAAAACUUUGUAUCUCAGGAGAAAGAUUUUAACAUUAGAACCACCUGUGUAAUACUGUGUAGCUGACCUACCAUAGAUGAACACAAGACUUUGACAGUGAAUUCUUUCAGGAGGUUGGAGCGUUCAUGGAUUGUUGUCAGCAGUUUGUGCCGUUAACACAAGGGACACUCCACAGUCACAGUAACAAUAAAUGCCAGAACCAUAGACUGCAUAUAAAACAUGAAUGUAGCUUUGGCGUUUGGAAAGUGAAGCCAGUAAUUCAGCUUUCAGUAUUCCUGAUGGCCGUGAGGAGGGAACUCAUUUGGUUUCGAAAAUAAUUCUUCUUCUAUGGAAGUCUGGAAAACAAAGACUUUGAUCCACAACCUCAGGAAACACUUUCCUGAUGAAUUCGUGGCCAGAGUCACUAGUUUCAAGUCUUAUUUAAUACAAUGUGACUUUCAUUGUAUAAAUUAUGUUCUCCUUUGUGUAACUGACAACUUGCAAGCCUUUGAGCGUGUGCCUCAAUUAAACAGUGAAAUCCACACUCACUUGUCACAUCCCAGAUUCAACAUGUCUAGACUGUCACGGCAAAAGUGCACAGCUUGAGGCUUCAUAACAAGUUUUUGCAAACUAAUGGAUGGACUCACAACAGUGACAGUCUGUGGCAUAAUGUUGCUUUCUAAAGAUAUGACCGGUGUUUUCUUUUGGCUUUUUUUUAUAUAUAUAUAUUUUUCUCAUUUCUCAUUUUUUUCUGAAUUACAAUAUAUGAGAUUAUUUUCUUGUUCAUCCCAUAAGAGCACUCAGUUUCAUAACAAGAAACCGAGGGUUCUUCAUGUCUGGUUCAGACAUGAAAUUAAUCAAAACAUUGGUCCAACUCAUGCAUUUGCCACAACAAAGAAGGCAGAUGUUGUAAAUUCUCCUCAGCAUCAACUCCACAUGCCAUCGUCCCUAUUCUUCAUCUCAUUACUUGGCAUAUAUAAUCUCUGGUUGUACUGUGGCUUUUUGGGGCAGGGAGACAGAGUGAACUAUAAAGGGUUUUAUACAAGCUGAGGAGUGGAGUUAAACUGGAAGGCAGUCUGCAUGUUUGUAUGGAAACAAUUCUUUCAUGAGUUGCAAUUCUGUUUGAUUCCAGAUGUAAAAAGCCACAGGGAGAGAAAGAUGCAUAUCAGUCUUGACACCUAAAUCCAGGAUGAUGCUGCACUUGAAGUGCUAUCCUAACCUCACCGAAAAGACUACAUUUAGCAAAAGUAUUCUCUGUGCAUUUCUUUUCCUAAGCAAUAAUGAUUCUGAACAAGCAGGAUAGAAAUUCUUCCAGUUAUAUUAAAGGAUCCACAUACUUUUUUGGGGAAGAAAAGUGAGUUAGGUAACUUUAAACUUUGCAUAUUUGUUGGUGUAAGACAGGCUGGUCUGAGUAUUUCAGAAACUGUUGAUCUGCUAGGAUUUUCCCACACAACCAUCUCUGGGGAUUAAAAAGAGGAACAUAUGCAGUGAGCAGCACUCCUUUGAGUAAAAAUGCCUUGUUGAUGUCAGAGGUCAGAGGAGAAUGGCGAGACUGCUUCAAGAUAAUAGGAAAGCAGAAAUAACUCAAAUAACCACUCAUAUCAACCAAGGUGUGUAGAAAGACAUCUCUGAAUAACACAUUGAAUCCUGUAGCAGAUGGUCUACAACAGCAGAAGACUACAUCAGGUCCCACUCCUGUCAACUAAGACAGCACAGGCUCACCAAAAUUGGAAAUUAGAAGACUGGAAAAACAAUAUGAGCAACAUUCAGAAGGGAAGCACGUUUUCUUUCUGGCUGCUUCUCUGUGGUCUGACCAGAAACUAACUCAUCCUUAUUCUAGAAAGUGAACCACAACAUGUGGCAACAGAGCCCACAAACAUGAGCUCAUUCCUCUUGAGGGGAAACUAGCAACUGAAAAAAAACAGAGAUAGAAAGAGAGAAAGUCCCAGUGUUCCUCUCCACAUCCAUUUGUCUUUGGACUACAUUCCUGCUCCUCUUCCUCAAAUGAAAUGGUUAUCCCUGCAAACAAUGAGAAGACUGAGCUGCAGGAGCAUCUGCAGCAUGUGAAGUGGGACAUGAAACAAAAAUUGGCUCACAAGGUCGAGGUCAACUUCAGCAUCAGCACAUUCUUUGAGCCAAGGCGUUGGAGAGAAAGCAGGCGCGAACUGAAAGUGGCCCAAGUCUCUUCCUAACAUGCUUUUAUUUCCCACAUACUUCGUGAUCAGCAGGCCUCAGUAUGUUAUCAGGUAAUACUGAGACAAACAGCUGCUUACGUGCUGAAAUGUGGAUGUAUUAUUUGAGAAAAGCAUUACACAUGAAUCAGAAGAACAAUACAUUUUGACCAAUAGGCUAACAAUUAAAGUAAACUCAUCAGUAUUAAAAAUACAGCUGGAAAGGUGAACUGUUCCUACUUUAAGAGCAAGUGCAGGCAGAUAUGUUGCAAAAUGUAUUUACCAUCAUAAUUAAAUACAAAAAGAAAGAAUGUGCAGAAAAAAUCUGAACUCUAAACUCACACCUAUGAUAUUAAUUUAAAAAUCAUAGUUGACCUUUGAGUUAUUGUAACAAAAAAAGGAAAAAAAGUCUUUUCUGUGGCUAAGUCCUCAAUUUUCCUUUAUACCUUGUAAUGUUGUCAGUCUCCAUAUGAGUCACGUUGACCACGUGCUGUGUGCUUCAUGCUUUGCUCUGGAAUGUCAGGUUUCAAAUUGCAUGUACCUGAUAUUGCCUUGCCAUGCCAUGCCAGAGAUAUAAGAUUGUGUGUAACUGUAAAAUCAAAUGACUAUUAUUUAUUUGCAAUAAAAUAACAUAAAACACACACCAAAGUACACACAGGACUUUUUAUUAGUAAGUUACAAUGCGGACACAUGCACUGCCAAGGACAUUUAAAAAAAAUAAUACUAUGACAUUUCAUCAUGUUUCAGUUAAACAAGUUAAGAAUCAAGCAGUUAAGUAAGAAAAGAUUUUUUCUGUUUAUAACAAUUAGAACAUGUAUGAUUGAACACAGAAGAAACAUGCACUUUACUGCACUGCAACAUAGAAAAUUAUCCUAAGUGUAGAAAAACAUAUCAUUUUCAUUUGACAAACACUUGAUGAUACAAAUGUGUUUGCAGUGACUGACUCACCCGAGUUUCUUCCAGAAGCCACAGGUUAACAGGUUAAAGGA